AAAAAGCAAAAGGAAAGAGAGCAACUGAGCAAGUAUAGAAUGAAAGCCAGGAGAAUACAUUUUGCAGCCUGAAUAUGGGAAGGCAAAUAAGCAAGAAGAAAGAUGAAGACGAAGACAAAGAAGAAGCACCACCACCACCACCACCAUCAUCAUUAACAACAACUGCUGCACAUGCACCCCAUGGCCAUUCAUGGAAUGAUGGAGUACUGCAGAAAUUUCCACAUAGAAAGUGAAGCUAACAUAAAGUGGAUUGACAAGUACACUUACUGUUCAGUUAACUAGAGACUGACACUUACAUUCAACUUAUCAGUGCUCCCAUGAAUACAAAUAUCUUUCUAAA